rnacentral:rRNA from 1 species
ACCCGCUGAACUUAAGCAUAUCAAUAAGGGGAGGAAAAGAUUCCAACAGGGAUUGCCUCAGUAACGGCGAGUGAAGCGGCAAAAGCUCAAAUUUGAAAUCUGGCGUCUUCGGCGUCCGAGUUGUAAUUUGUAGAGGUAGCUUUGGGUGUACAGCCAGGUCUAUGUUCCUUGGAACAGGACGUCAUGGAGGGUGAGAAUCCCGUAAAUGGCUUGGCCAGUGCCUAUGUAUAGCGCCUUCGACGAGUCGAGUUGUUUGGGAAUGCAGCUCUAAGUGGGUGGUAAAUUCCAUCUAAAGCUAAAUACUGGCGAGAGACCGAUAGCGCACAAGUAGAGUGAUCGAAAGGUGAAAAGCACUCCGGAAGGAGAGUUAAACAGCACGUGAAAUUGUUGAAAGGGAAGCGCUUGAGACCAGUCUCAGGUAAAGUUGAUCAACCUCCAUUCUUGGUGGUGCACUCUUCUUUGCCCGGGCCAGCAACAGUUUUGGCGGUGGUAUAAAGGUUUAGGGAAUGUGGCUCUCUUCGGGGAGUGUUAUAGCCCUAUUCGUAAUGCUCCCUGUCGAGACUGAGGACCGCGCUUCGGCUAGGUUGUUGGCAUAAUGGUCUU